rnacentral:rRNA from 1 species
UACGAAGGGGGCGAGCGUUAAUCGGAAUUACUGGGCGUAAAGCGCGCGUAGGCGGCUUUGCAAGUCGGGUGUGAAAUCCCCAGGCUUAACCUGGGAACUGCAUUCGAGACUGCAUUGCUAGAGUAUGGGAGAGGGAAGUGGAAUUUCCGGUGUAGCGGUGAAAUGCGUAGAUAUCGGAAGGAACAUCAGUGGCGAAAGCGACUUCCUGGACCAAUACUGACGCUCAUGUGCGAAAGCGUGGGGAGCAAACAGG